UGGGGAAUAUUGGGCAAUGGAGGAAACUCUGACCCAGCGACGCCGCGUGCGGGAUGAAGGCCUUCGGGUUGUAAACCGCUUUCAGUAGGGAAGAAGCGAAAGUGACGGUACCUACAAAAGAAGCACCGGCUAACUAUGUGCCAGCAGCCGCGGUAAUACAUAGGUCUCAAGCGUUGUUCGGAUUCAUUGGGCGUAAAGGGUGCGUAGGCGGCUUGGUAAGUCAGAUGUGAAAUCCUGGGGCUCAACCUCGGAACUGCAUUUGAUACUGCCAGGCUAGAGUACUGGAGAGGAGACUGGAAUUUACGGUGUAGCGGUGGAAUGCGCAGAUAUCAGGAGGAACACCGAUGGCGAAGGCAGGUCUCUGGGCCAAUACUGACACUGAGGAGCGAAAGCGUGGGGAGCGAACAGG
rnacentral:rRNA from 1 species